CGUCGGCGUCGAAUCGAACCAAACCGCCGAAAUACUUUAAACGUUUAUCAGAUUCCCAAAUGACUGAUUCCACCAAAUCUAAACCACCUUUUCAAAUCUCGAACAUACAAUUAAGAAUCUACUACAUAUAGGUCUUCCAAGGUGGCUCUACAGCGGUGGCAAUAAUGAUUUAUGACCAAGUCGGAGCUUGAGUGCGCCUCCGCCAGAAGACCCGCGGGUGCGCAAGAGAGAGGGAAGGCUUAGCGUCGUCUCCUUCAUUAACGCUACAAAUGUCAAAUACAACGAGAUAACUAGUCGCCAAAAAGAAAGCAUGGAGGAGUUACUUUCAUUGAAGUGGAACAACCACCGUUCCACUUUCCUCCACAUUUUGGGAGUUCUCAGGGACAAGCAAUCGUACACGGAUGUGACUCUGGCAUGUGAUGGCAAGUUCUACAGUGUGCAUAAGCUGGUGUUGUCAACAUGUAGUGACUAUUUCUGUGCCAUGUUUGAGAAGACUGCUUGUAAAAGCCCUGUUAUAGUGUUAAAAGAUAUUAAGUGUGAGGACCUUGAGGCCUUACUAGACUACAUGUACCUUGGUGAAGUGAAUGUAAGGCAAAGUGAUUUAGCGUCUUUGAUAAAGGCUGCCGAAAAUUUACGCAUCAAGGGUCUCGCAGUACCUGAUGAUGAACCUACAAACAAAGUUCCGGCAACGUCUGCGCCAAACAGAGCCGAACCGGCAAGGAGAGAAGGGGGGAUUGGCAGCCCCCCUGCCAAGCGGAAAAGAAGAGACGAAGGCGAAGACGGCAGGGAAGACGUGAGACCGCAGGCCAGUGGUGGCUUACAAACUCCCCCUCCUCCUCCGUCUAGACCAAAGAGCCCUAUUGCCCAGCGCCUGAGCCCUUCCCCCCACAGAACCUCUCAGGAAUCCCCAGCUACAGAUGAUCGUGUCAGCCGUCCCCUCUCGUCGCCAGCAGAAAACCCCGCCUCGUCUCAUGUCCCGGCACAAUCUUCCGCACACACCACGGCGUCGCAAGCGCAAGCCAGUAGUCAGUUUAGAUCAGAAGAGACUCCCUCCUUUGUCAAAGUGGAAAUGGAGGAAGAAAGUGCCAACGAGAUGCCCGGGGACUCCUACGACCUCAGCGCGGACGGUUACAAGGAAGAAGGUGACGAUUCUGGAAGUGGAGUGAAUAAUGAUUUACCUGAGUUCCUACAAGCAGCAGCCACUGGAGCCUUAGCUGGUAGCACAGCCUCGUACCCUCACCCCUCCUUUGCCGGGCCCUCUGGCUACCAGCCGGGAGACCUGGCGGGCUGGCAGGGUGACGGAUCGUCCAUAGGCUUCCCUGCUCAUCUUAACUUUAGCACCUCAGACAGUUCUAGUCAACAGAAUGCACCCGGGGAGGUGGUCGUCUCUGGGGAUGGCUGCGGGGCUUCAGGAGGCGUGUUGGUGUGCCCCGUGUGUGGCAAGACGGCCCAAGGGCGGAACCGCCGACAGAACAUGGACAACCACAUGCUUACACACACGGGGGAGCGGCCCUUUCAAUGCUCUAUGUGCCCGUACCGAGCCUCCCAGCAGGGCAACCUUAAGCGGCACCUCCGCGCAGUCCACAAGCAAGCGACGGACGACCUGUGCGGAGGGCCGCCUCUCUACCAGGAACUUGGCCCGUCGCUCUUGCUCCACAGAAACGCCCCGCAGAUGCAGGCUGGCCAGAACUAUGACUCGGGAAUGCAGAACACGCGGAACGAACAGUCGCACGCCGACGCUCAGUCAGCCGCCUCUGUGCGCGAGGACGAGCCUCCCUUCGGAUUACACUUGCGCCUCAAAACCGACCCUGAAAUGGCAGUGGCUGCGACCCAGCCUGAGUCUGGGAUCUGAGAGCGCACACGAGGUCUGGCGGAGGCGGCGAGGUCGGCGAGGUCGGCGUUGCAGGCCUUCAUAGAACGCUGUCCUUCUGCGGCUUGCAUGCGAAGGUGCGCAGGGGGAGCUGGAGGGUGUGGCGGGUGUGUCGACGCGCAGGCUGUCCUGUCCUAGGUGUUCCAAAGUCUUCCACGGGGCAAAGCGGAAGUACCGGCUCGACAGACACAUGCUGGUUCAUUGGGGGUUGAAGCCUUUCGAGUGCCCGCACUGCUCGUACUGCGCUAGUCAGCAGGGCAACCUCACUAGACACAUAAAGAACGUUCAUGCUCAAAGACCGACCUUAGAUAGCGGAG
rnacentral:misc_RNA from 1 species